GUGCCUUAAACUUAUGAGUAAGGAAAAUAACGAUUCGGGGUGACACCCGAGUCCUCACUGCUAAUGUGAGACGAAUUUUUGAGCCUGUGAGAAGAACUUUUUAGCAGGUAAAGGUUACCCCCUUAGGUGACCCGCCUCCUUUGCAGGAUGCCUGGGUGUGGUUCUGCCCA